rnacentral:lncRNA from 1 species
UUCAAUCAAAAAAAUUUGAUUUCUCACAAAACCCAACGGUCUCUGGUUCCAGCCAAACAAACAUACGGAUUGAUCUUAUCUUUUUUGGAGGGCUGUUAGUUGUUUUGGGUCAAGUGUAGAAGUGGUAUGUUGUGUUGGGGUUGGAGGUAAUGGUGGUUUGACGGCGGUGGACGGCGGAGACAGGGAGGACGUGAGGGCGAU